UACAAUAAUAUAGUUUUCUGGACUAGGAUACAGGGAAGGAAGCAUCUAUGAAAGUUGGCUUUAAAAAGUCAGAAACGGUUAUCUGUGAAACUGUUUCAGUUCCAAGUACUGUUGAGCCUGGCUGCCUGACCCAUACUCAACCUCAGUGAGACUCUGAGGUUUGAGACAUGGUACUUCAUCUUGUGUUCAACCAUGGAAGGUUUACCUGGAAAGAUCAGUUCACUCGCUAAAAAAAGUUAUCAGGUAACUGAACAUGAGCAAUUUUUGCAUUAACCGGAAACAAUGCUUUUCUUUCAAAGCCACAUGGGGAGACCAAGUUAAGUCACAGUGGAAGACAAAAGCCCGAAGCAACAGGAUGAAUGAAGCAGAAAGAGUUGCUGAGUAGAGAGGAGCCUGCCAUUACAUCUUCUCUGCCUCUUCAUUCCCAGAAUAAACACCCCUCUCUUGCUCAGGUGUAUGCACAGGCUCUCCUCCACGCAUCACACCUCCCACCCUCCGCUACAUCAGAUUCUGCUACUACGGAAUCCAUUUCUCCUAAGAUCAAAAGGACCAGUUAUUGAUCAACUCUCUGCUUCCUUAACAGAGUGAUCCGGUACCAAUUUAUAAAACUCAAGGCAACCCCUCUUUGGUUUAGUGGCAAGACUACCACAGACCAUCCUCUUUGGAGGUCACUACAGGUAAAGAGAAGAUCGAAAAGAACAGGGAAUAAGAGUAACAUCAGCCCCCCACAAGAACAUGAGCAUCCAGAAGAUAAUGGAGUGCCUUCAAAUUCUAAGCCACCCGUGUUUGGUGAUCCCACCCUUCUGAGAGCCGAGGGAGGCAGCAUCCUAGGAGAGAAGGAAAGCUACAAUCAAGCUCCCAUUACUACGAAUCCUGCUGUGAGUUUGGUCAAGGUGAAAAUCAUUCAGUUGGUGCCAGCUUGCCCCAUCCUAUCCCUUCCCUGGAGUCACCAUCUGCCACAAGUCACUUUAGAGUCUGUUUGGCAGUAAAAGAGAAGGAGAAGCCUAAUUCCUGAAAACUCUAGCCCAUUUAAAGGCAAAGCUAGCUCCAGUCCAAAUUUUUAAGUGUUUAAUGAGCCACAGAGAGUACAUACCAUACUUGACCACUCAGGUUGUAAGGUCUCGCCUGGUUUCAUGAAAAAAUGUUUUCAAAUCAUAACUCCCCUAUACUUGGAAGACAAAAGCAAAUUCCUGGAAAAGUUCCCAGAGGCUCAGUUCAGGGGAAGGUGAACGAAAAAAGGAAGGACAUGGGAGGCAAUAGAGAAAGGAGAGAUGAGAGAAGAGGAUGGGGCAAUAGCAUGGAAGGAAAGACAGGCAAGAAGGCAGAGAGGUAAUGGAGAGGAGGGGAGUCGGAGAGGCACAGGAACAUAGCUAGAGAAACCAACACACUCGUGUCUGCAGGUCCUGUCUCCAACUGUGGGCUCUGGAGCAAGUGAGGCAAGUGAGGCCACUGGCUGCUGCUGCAAAUACAUUAGGCACACACUCAUACAUCUGACAGACUGACAGAUGACAUGUGUACACACACAGUCUGGCCAAUCUGCCACACCCUGACCCAGGGCCCUCCAUGCCCUCUUGUGAGGCUCCCCUGUGGUCUCCUCGCCCCUCUAAGGCAGUGUCCAAUGGACACUUGAGUACAUAUGGUAGGAAGAGAGGGCCACAUGGUGUCACAUUACCUGGGCUCACACUUUGUUAGACUAGUCUCUAAUAGUGAUCUUUCUUUUUCUAAUCAAGUAGACCAUUGCAGAAAGACCCAUCUUAUGUGUUGUUUUAGAUCAUCUCUAUAUUAGUAUUGGUGGUUUUAUUGUUCUUAUUGCUGGCAAUAAUAGAAAUAACUUGCCUGUCUAGGAUUUUAGAGUGUGUUGUGCGCCCUUACAUGCAUUAUUUCAAAUGGUUCUCCUCUUACUACCAAUCAGCACCAAGUUUUUCUUAGUAUCUUUUCAUUUUGAAUGACCACUUACUCUUCCCAGAAUUAUUUUAAAAGUGGUUUCUAGGGCAGCUGGGUGGCUCAGCAGUUUAGCGCCAC